CGACAGGCUUAACACAUGCAAGUCGAGGGGCAGCACAGGUAGCAAUACCGGGUGGCGACCGGCGCACGGGUGAGUAACGCGUAUGCAACUUACCUAUCAGAGGGGGAUAACCCGGCGAAAGUCGGACUAAUACCGCAUGAAGCAGGGGCCCCGCAUGGGGAUAUUUGCUAAAGAUUCAUCGCUGAUAGAUAGGCAUGCGUUCCAUUAGGCAGUUGGCGGGGUAACGGCCCACCAAACCGACGAUGGAUAGGGGUUCUGAGAGGAAGGUCCCCCACAUUGGUACUGAGACACGGACCAAACUCCUACGGGAGGCAGCAGUGAGGAAUAUUGGUCAAUGGCCGAGAGGCUGAACCAGCCAAGUCGCGUGAGGGAUGAAGGUUCUAUGGAUCGUAAACCUCUUUUAUAAGGGAAUAAAGUGCGGGACGUGUCCCGUUUUGUAUGUACCUUAUGAAUAAGGAUCGGCUAACUCCGUGCCAGCAGCCGCGGUAAUACGGAGGAUCCGAGCGUUAUCCGGAUUUAUUGGGUUUAAAGGGUGCGUAGGCGGCCUUUUAAGUCAGCGGUGAAAGUCUGUGGCUCAACCAUAGAAUUGCCGUUGAAACUGGGGGGCUUGAGUAUGUUUGAGGCAGGCGGAAUGCGUGGUGUAGCGGUGAAAUGCAUAGAUAUCACGCAGAACCCCGAUUGCGAAGGCAGCCUGCCAAGCCAUGACUGACGCUGAUGCACGAAAGCGUGGGGAUCAAACAGGAUUAGAUACCCUGGUAGUCCACGCAGUAAACGAUGAUCACUAGCUGUUUGCGAUACACAGUAAGCGGCACAGCGAAAGCGUUAAGUGAUCCACCUGGGGAGUACGCCGGCAACGGUGAAACUCAAAGGAAUUGACGGGGGCCCGCACAAGCGGAGGAACAUGUGGUUUAAUUCGAUGAUACGCGAGGAACCUUACCCGGGUUUGAACGCAUUCGGACCGAGGUGGAAACACCUUUUCUAGCAAUAGCCGUUUGCGAGGUGCUGCAUGGUUGUCGUCAGCUCGUGCCGUGAGGUGUCGGCUUAAGUGCCAUAACGAGCGCAACCCUUGCCACUAGUUACUAACAGGUAAAGCUGAGGACUCUGGUGGGACUGCCAGCGUAAGCUGCGAGGAAGGCGGGGAUGACGUCAAAUCAGCACGGCCCUUACAUCCGGGGCGACACACGUGUUACAAUGGCGUGGACAAAGGGAGGCCACCUGGCGACAGGGAGCGAAUCCCCAAACCACGUCUCAGUUCGGAUCGGAGUCUGCAACCCGACUCCGUGAAGCUGGAUUCGCUAGUAAUCGCGCAUCAGCCAUGGCGCGGUGAAUACGUUCCCGGGCCUUGUACACACCGCCCGUCAAGCCAUGGGAGCCGGGGGUACCUGAAGUCCGUAACCGCGAGGAUCGGCCUAGGGUAAAACUGGUGACUGGGGCUAAGU
rnacentral:rRNA from 1 species